CUCCUUUUGAACUCAUCGAGGCUCUACUUAAGUACAUUGAAACCCUUAAUGUUCCUGGAGCUGUGUUGGUUUUUUUGCCUGGCUGGAAUCUGAUUUAUACUAUGCAGAAGCAUUUGGAAAUGAAUCCACAUUUUGGAAGCCAUCGGUAUCAGAUUCUACCCCUGCAUUCUCAGAUUCCUCGAGAGGAACAGCGCAAAGUGUUUGAUCCAGUACCAGUUGGAGUAACCAAGGUAAAUAUUAAACAUUAGAGUGAUGGGAUUGGAAGUGACGUAGAUACUAAACAAAUGUUACAGGCUUUCAAAGAGCUACCCAAAAAAUUGUAACCCAUCUAAAUUGAGGAAGAAAAAAGGAGUCUUCUCUUUCUGAGCUUAGUAGAUUGUUCAUUAAUCAGUUAUUGGGUGAUCUUUUUAGGACUUCUGUAAUUUUCUUGUCAUU
rnacentral:sRNA from 1 species